AGCCACACUGGGACUGAGACACGGCCCAGACUCCUACGGGAGGCAGCAGUGGGAAUUUUGGACAAUGGGCGCAAGCCUGAUCCAGCCAUUCCGCGUGAGUGAAGAAGGCCUUCGGGUUGUAAAGCUCUUUCGCAAGGGAAGAAAACUUACUCAAUAACACUGGGUGAGGCUGACGGUACCUUGAUAAGAAGCACCGGCUAACUACGUGCCAGCAGCCGCGGUAAUACGUAGGGUGCGAGCGUUAAUCGGAAUUACUGGGCGUAAAGCGUGCGCAGGCGGUUUUGUAAGUCAGAUGUGAAAGCCCCGGGCUCAACCUGGGAACUGCGUUUGAAACUACAAGGCU
rnacentral:rRNA from 1 species